UACGUAGGGGGCAAGCGUUGUCCGGAAUCAUUGGGCGUAAAGAGCGUGUAGGCGGCCCGGUAAGUCCGCUGUGAAAGUCCAGGGCUCAACCCUGGGAUGCCGGUGGAUACUGUCGGGCUAGAGUCCGGAAGAGGAGAGUGGAAUUCCUGGUGUAGCGGUGAAAUGCGCAGAUAUCAGGAAGAACACCAAUGGCGAAAGCAGCUCUCUGGGACGGUACUGACGCUGAGACGCGAAAGCGUGGGGAGCGAACAGG
rnacentral:rRNA from 1 species